CACCAUUGCCCUAGUGUCCUUCUAGGUAAGGUGGAAACCAAUGCAUCACUGCCCUUGAUGGAUUUGUCAAUAAUACUUAGCAGGGGAGGGGAACUGCUCACAUAACACUCGCAGGUCUCCAGUCCCCGAGCAGUUUGGUGUGAUUUAAUUGUCUGAAGAGGUGUGUGCUUCUGCAUAUAUGCAGGAACUAAGCAGUGGUCACAGGCAGAGGGAGUUAGCAGUGGAGCUGACUGCAUUGGAAAGCCUUGGGAAAACAGCACGGAAAAUAACAGGCGGCCGGAGCCACGGCCAGGUUGGUGUUCCAUUAACCAAGUCGCUGUUGAAGAGGGAGCCAAGAGCAUUUCGGCAUUGCAGAGUGGAAUGAAGCCUCUUUAGAGAUCAAAGAAAUCUCAGCUCCCGAGACUCGGGGGAAUCACCGUGUUCCAGAACCUUCACUGUCAUUUAACAUAAAACAUAAAGGUUAACAUUGAAUGAAACAAUACCCUGGCUGAUUAUUUUAAUAGUCUCAAAGUUCAACCUUUUCCCCUGGAUUGCUGUUAUAGACCAUGUGGACUGUACAGGCUUUGCAGUUGUUUGCCCCUUUCCUGCUGUACCGAUAGGAGAGUAGCGGUCAGUCAAAUCCCCAGCAGUGACUGUGUGCAUCUCCCUCACAGUCAUUCAUUCCCUUAUAGCAAAAA
rnacentral:lncRNA from 1 species